ACAGAGGGUGCGAGCGUUAAUCGGAAUUACUGGGCGUAAAGGGCGCGUAGGCGGUCUGGUCAGUCGGAUGUAAAAGCCCCGGGCUUAACCUGGGAAUGCCAUUCGAUACUGCCCGACUUGAGUAUGGUAGAGGGAAGCGGAAUUCCGGGUGUAGCGGUGAAAUGCGUAGAGAUCCGGAGGAACACCAGUGGCGAAGGCGGCUUCCUGGACCAAUACUGACGCUGAGGCGCGAAAGCGUGGGGAGCAAACAGG
rnacentral:rRNA from 1 species